rnacentral:rRNA from 1 species
GAUGAACGCUGGCGGCGUGCCUAAUACAUGCAAGUCGAGCGAACGGACGAGAAGCUUGCUUCUCUGAUGUUAGCGGCGGACGGGUGAGUAACACGUGGAUAACCUACCUAUAAGACUGGGAUAACUUCGGGAAACCGGAGCUAAUACCGGAUAAUAUUUUGAACCGCAUGGUUCAAAAGUGAAAGACGGUCUUGCUGUCACUUAUAGAUGGAUCCGCGCUGCAUUAGCUAGUUGGUAAGGUAACGGCUUACCAAGGCAACGAUGCAUAGCCGACCUGAGAGGGUGAUCGGCCACACUGGAACUGAGACACGGUCCAGACUCCUACGGGAGGCAGCAGUAGGGAAUCUUCCGCAAUGGGCGAAAGCCUGACGGAGCAGCGCCGCGUGAGUGAUGAAGGUCUUCGGAUCGUAAAACUCUGUUAUUAGGGAAGAACAUAUGUGUAAGUAACUGUGCACAUCUUGACGGUACCUAAUCAGAAAGCCACGGCUAACUAGGUG